GGAUGUAAGGGCCAUCUGUGACACCUGUCACCCUGUUGAUGGCCAGGGUUGGUUGGCUGACCUGGCUGGGUAGGUGGGUGUCCCCUUCCUCCCUCAAUGCUCCCGGUGCGUCCCUGGGGUCUGAGUUGACCGUGGGGACACCCUGGGGAUGAGCUGUCCCA
rnacentral:snRNA from 1 species